GUCUUGCCGUCUCCUCCCGCUGCCCGGUCUCCCUACGGCCCCACAGACUGCAGAGGCCUUGUUUACACACGUCUUCCGGCACUACGGGGUGCCUCUCCCCCUUCCAGUGCGUAUUAAGCCAGUUCUGGCUCCUUGGCAUCAGAGUCAGACCGAGGCUCCUGCGGUGGACGACUGUUUCCGGCGAGCGGAGGAAACAUGGGACGCCGCCCAUGUUCACCUUCAGCGUGCCGUGCUGAGCCAGAAAGCCGGCGCAGACCGUCACCGCAGUGAGGCCCCGGUGUUAGCACCAGGGGAUCGGGUCUGGCUCUCGACCCGAAACCUGCCCCUUCGCCUGCCCUGCCGGAAGCUGGGUCUGCAGUUUGUGGGGCCGUUGUGGGGUUUGUGGGUUCACCCAGUUCUGUUCUCCUGCGUCGGACUUCUCUGCCACCAGCUAAGCUCCCCUUACAGUAUCAUAUCUCUGGUGAGAAAAUGAGUACAAUAAAGUGCAGAGCAGGAAGAGGAGAAGCAGGAGGAGAAGGAGGACGAGAAGGAGGAGGAGAAGGAGGAGGAAUUAGCAAACUCAGGUUAUAUACUUCUACUGUGAUUAUAUACCUCUACUGUGAUUAUACACGUCUACUGUGAUUAUAUACCUCUACUGUGAUUAUAAACCUCUACUGUGAUUAUAUACCUCUACUAUGAUUAUAUUCCUCUACUGUGAUUAUACACCUCUACUGUGAUUAUACACCUCUACUGUGAUUAUACACCUCUACUGUGAUUAUACACCUCUACUGUGAUUAUACACCUCUACUGUGAUUCUAUAACUCUACUGUGAUUAUAUACCUAUACUGUUAUUAUACAUCUCUACUGUGAUUAUACACCUCUACUGUGAUUAUAAACCUCUACUGUGAUUAUACACCUCUACUGUGAUUAUACACCUCUACUGUGAUUAUAAACCUCUACUGUGAUUAUACACCUCUAAUGUGAUUAUAUACAUCUACUGUGAUUAUAUAAUCAUAAUCACCUCUACUGUGACUAUACACCUCUUCUGUGAUGAUAUACCUCUACUGUGAUUAUAUAUCUCUACUGUAAUUAUACACCUCUAAUGUGAUUAUAUACAUCUACUGUGAUUAUAUACCUCUACAGUGAUUUUACACCUCUACUGUGAUUAUACACCUCUACUGUGAUUAUACACCUCUACUGUGAUUAUAAAACUCUACUGUGAAUAUAUAACUAUACUGUGAUUAUACACCUCUACUGUGAUUAUAAACUUCUACUGUGAAUAUUUAUCUAUACUGUGAUUAUACACCUCUACUGUGAUUAUACACCUCUACUGUGAUUAUAUACCUCUACUGUGAUUAUACACCUCUACUGUGAUUAUACACCUCUACUGUGAUUAUAUACCUCUACUGUGAUGAUAUACCUCCACUGUGAUUAUAUACCUCUACUGUGAUUAUACACCUCUACUGUGAUUAUACACCUCUACUGUGAUUAUACACCUCUACUGUGAUUCUAUAACUCUACUGUGAUUAUAUACCUCCACUGUGAUUAUAUACCUCUACUGUGAUUAUACACAUCUACUGUGAUUAUACACCUCUACUGUGAUUAUAUACCUCUACUGUGAUUAUACACCUCUACUGUGAUUAUACACCUCUACUGUGAUUAUAUAAUCAUAAUCACCUCUACUGUGAUUAUAUACCUCUACUGUGAUUAUACACAUCUAUUGUGAUUAUACACCUCUACUGUGAUUAUAAACCUCUACUGUGAAUAUACAACUAUACUGUGAUUAUAUACCUCUACUGUGAUUAUAAACCUCUACUGUGAAUAUAUAACUAUACUGUGAUUAUACACCUCUUCUGUGAUUAUACACCUCUACUGUGAUUAUAAACUUCUACUGUGAAUAUUUAUCUAUACUGUGAUUAUACACCUCUACUGUGAUUAUACACCUCUACUGUGAUUAUAUACCUCUUCUGUGAUUAUAUAUCUCUACUGUGAUUAUACACCUCUACUGUGAUUAUACACCUCUACUGUGAUUAUAUACCUCUACUGUGAUUAUACACCUCUACUGUGAUUAUACACCUCUACUGUGAUUAUACACCUCUACUGUGUAUAUAUACUUCUACUGUGAUUAUACAUCAACUUGUUUCAAUUACGGAACACAUUUAUAACACAGUUGACCUGUGAUUAUAUACCUCUACAUGUAUAACACAGUUGACCUGUGAUUAUAUACCUCUACUGUGAUUAUAUACCUCUACAUGUAUAACACAGUUGACCUGUGAUUAUAUACCUCUACUGUGAUUAUAUACCUCUACAUGUAUAACACAGUUGACCUGUGAUUAUAUACCUCUACUGUGAUUAUAUACCUCUACAUGUAUAACACAGUUGACCUGUUAUUAUAUACCUCUACAUUUAUAACACAGUUGACCUGUUAUUAUAUACCUCUACAUUUAUAACACAGUUGACCUGUGAUUAUAUACCUCUACUGUGAUUAUAUACCUCUACAUGUAUAACACAGUUGACCUGUGAUUAUAUACCUCUACUGUGAUUAUAUACCUCUACAUGUAUAACACAGUUGACCUGUUAUUAUAUACCUCUACAUUUAUAACACAGUUGACCUGUGAUUAUAUACCUCUACUGUGAUUAUAUACCUCUACAUGUAUAACACAGUUGACCUGUGAUUAUAUACCUCUACUGUGAUUAUAUACCUCUACAUUUAUAACACAGUUGACCUGUUAUUAUAUACCUCUACAUUUAUAACACAGUUGACCUGUGAUUAUAUACCUGUACAUUUAUAACACAGUUGACCUGUGAUUAUAUACCUCUACAUUUAUAACACAGUUGACCUGUGAUUAUAUACCUCUACUGUGAUUAUAUACCUCUACAUGUAUAACACAGUUGACCUGUUAUUAUAUACCUCUACAUUUAUAACACAGUUGACCUGUGAUUAUAUACCUCUACUGUGAUUAUAUACCUCUACAUGUAUAACACAGUUGACCUGUGAUUAUAUACCUCUACUGUGAUUAUAUACCUCUACAUUUAUAACACAGUUGAGCUGUUAUUAUAUACCUCUACAUGUAUAACACAGUUGACCUGUUAUUAUAUACCUCUACAUUUAUAACACAGUUGACCUGUUAUUAUAUACCUCUUCAUUUAUAACACAGUUGACCUGUUAUUAUAUACCUCUACAUGUAUAACACAGUUGACCUGUUAUUAUAUACCUCUACAUGUAUAACACAGUUGACCUGUUAUUAUAUACCUCUACAUUUAUAACACAGUUGACCAGAGAUUAUAUACCUCUACAUUUAUAACACAGUUGACCUGUUAUUAUAUACCUCUACAUGUAUAACACAGUUGACCAGAGAUUAUAUACCUCUACAUUUAUAACACAGUUGACCUGUUAUUAUAUACCUCUACAUGUAUAACACAGUUGACCAGAGAUUAUAUACCUCUACAUUUAUAACACAGUUGACCUGUUAUUAUAUACCUCUACAUUUAUAACACAGUUGACCAGAGAUUAUAUACCUCUACAUUUAUAACACAGUUGACCUGUUAUUAUAUACCUCUACAUUUAUAACACAGUUGACCUGCAUCCCAGUAAUUGCUUUUUUUCUUCCCUGUCCGUUUUAAAUACAUAGCUUCAUGUUUUGUUUUUAUUUCCACAUGGGAACCCUUCUCUGCAUGGCCUUUCUCAGCUGACUAGCAUCACAUUCUGUUCCUUUACUAUUUCUUUCUCUUCCUUGUCUUGUUUUGUUGAUUUUUACACAUAGAAACCUUUCAUUCAUGGCCUUUCUCAGCUGACUAGCUUUUGAUGGGAAGUCUCUCCCAUCAAAGAGACGAAACAAUCUCCUCGCUAAGCUCACAUCGGCUGCUCUCUCCCUCUCUAUCAAAGAGCAACGCUCUGGUGUAUCUGGGAGCCCCCGCGAACCACCAGUCUAAUAGACCUGAUUUAGAGUUACCCAACCUCCUCCCUCUGGAAGGAGCUUAAAGGUGAAUGGCAAAUGGAACCUUCAGAAUACAGAAUGUUAAGAUGGUUUAGUUCUACCAGAGUUCUGUAACAAUCCGUUAUAGUACGUAAUCAACCCCUCAUCAACCUCUGACCAGAGCAGAUCAGAGAAGGUAAAGAAUGUCUGUUUAACAGUCUGCAUGUGACAGUGUUACACACAGAGCGGGGAGGGUAGAGGAGAUGUAGAGCGGGGGGAGAAAAGG
rnacentral:lncRNA from 1 species